AGUGAACGCUGGCGGCAGGCCUAACACAUGCAAGUCGAGCGGCAGCGCGGGGCAACCCUGGCGGCGAGCGGCGGACGGGUGAGGAACACAUCGGAAUCUACCCAGUCGUGGGGGAUAACGUAGGGAAACUUACGCUAAUACCGCAUACGACCUGAGGGUGAAAGCAGGGGACCGCAAGGCCUUGCGCGAUUGGAUGAGCCGAUGUCCGAUUAGCUAGUUGGUGGGGUAAAGGCCCACCAAGGCGACGAUCGGUAGCUGGUCUGAGAGGAUGAUCAGCCACACUGGAACUGAGACACGGUCCAGACUCCUACGGGAGGCAGCAGUGGGGAAUAUUGGACAAUGGGCGCAAGCCUGAUCCAGCCAUGCCGCGUGUGUGAAGAAGGCCUCGGGUUGUAAAGCACAUUUGUCCGGGAAGAAAUCCCGUCGGUUAAUACCCGGCGGGGCUGACGGUACCGGAAGAAUAAGCACCGGCUAACUUCGUGCCAGCAGCCGCGGUAAUACGAAGGGUGCAAGCGUUACUCGGAAUUACUGGGCGUAAAGCGUGCGUAGGCGGUUCGUUAAGUCUGCCGUGAAAGCCCCGGGCUCAACCUGGGAAUGGCGGUGGAUACUGGCGAGCUAGAGUACGGUAGAGGGUGGUGGAAUUCCCGGUGUAGCAGUGAAAUGCGUAGAGAUCGGGAGGAACAUCUGUGGCGAAGGCGGCCACCUGGACCAGUACUGACGCUGAGGCACGAAAAGCGUGGGGGAGC
rnacentral:rRNA from 1 species